UUACGGCCAUACCACAUUGAAACACCGGUUCCCGUACGAUCACCGAAGUUAAGCACCGCCAAGCCUUGUCAGUACCUGGAUGAGUAAUUGUUUGGGCAUACCUGAUGCUGUAAG